UACAUAUGAUGUAUUCUUAUAUUUGCUACUUCGGAGAAGGUUUACCUUCAAUGAGACAUACUUAUAAUCACCAAGAUCUCUGAUGUA
rnacentral:snoRNA from 1 species